UUGUGUCAGCGGCUUCACUUCCCCUCCCCUUUUCUUCGUGCUGCGGCUGUGUGGCUGCAUCCAGGAUCAAUGGACCUGGGCCCUGGCCUGGUAAUGGCCACUGCCUGCUCUCCUUCCAAGGGCAGCAGCUUUUCAGGUGGCAGUUUGCUGGCGUGCAGGGCAGGGGAAGGUCUCUCCGGCAGAGCAGGCUCCAGGUGCCAUGACUCCCUAGCACCUGGGAUUGGUCAAGUCCUGCUUUAGGAUUGCAGAGAACGAAGAGACAGGCAAUCAAACGGGAGUCAGUGAGCUGCCAGAGGAGAGAGGUCUGCCAAAGCUGCUCUCACAUGGAGAGGGUUGAAGAGCAUUUUGUGUGCCUCUUUUCUUGCGCAGAAAAAGCACUGCAGCUUUAAUUGUUUGUUUGUAUACAGAUUUUUAUGACAUUAAAGAGAGUUGAUUAGGCUGAA